CCUACGGGAGGCUGCAGUGGGGAAUAUUGGACAAUGGGCGAAAGCCUGAUCCAGCCAUGCCGCGUGUGUGAAGAAGGCCUUCGGGUUGUAAAGCACUUUCAGUGGGGAAGAAAGCCUUGGGGCUAAUACCCUCGAGGAAGGACAUCACCCACAGAAGAAGCACCGGCUAACUCCGUGCCAGCAGCCGCGGUAAUACGGAGGGUGCGAGCGUUAAUCGGAAUUACUGGGCGUAAAGCGCGCGUAGGCGGUCUGAUAAGCCGGUUGUGAAAGCCCCGGGCUCAACCUGGGAACGGCAUCCGGAACUGUCAGGCUAGAGUGCAGGAGAGGAAGGUAGAAUUCCCGGUGUAGCGGUGAAAUGCGUAGAGAUCGGGAGGAAUACCAGUGGCGAAGGCGGCCUUCUGGACUGACACUGACGCUGAGGUGCGAAAGCGUGGGUAGCAAACAUGAUUAGAUACCCGGGUAGUC
rnacentral:rRNA from 1 species